ensembl:snRNA U4 U4 spliceosomal RNA
AGCUUUGCGCAGUGGCAGUAUCGUAGCCAAUGAGGUUUAUCUGAGGCACGAUUAUUGCUAUAUUGUGUUUUGCAGAACAGAAUUUUUAAUGAUGUCCAGCUUACUGA